GAUGAAGAACGUAGCGAAAUGCGAUACGUAAUGUGAAUUGCAAAUUCAGUGAAUCAUCGAAUCUUUGAACGCACAUUGCGCCCGCCAGUAUUCUGGCGGGCAUGCCUGUUCGAGCGUCAUUACAACCCUCAGGCCCCCGGGCCUGGCGUUGGGGAUCGGCGGAGCCCCCCGUGGGCACACGCCGUCCCCCAAAUGCAGUGGCGGUCCCGCCGCAGCUUCCAUCGCGUAGUAGCUAACACCUCGCGACUGGAGAGCGGCGCGGCCACGCCGUAAAACACCCAACUCUUCUGAAGUUGACCUCGAAUCAGGUAGGAAUACCCGCUGAACUUAAGCAUAUCAAUAAGCGGAGGA
rnacentral:misc_RNA from 1 species